CUUAAAUCUCAAAACCAUGGAGCCUGCAUGUGGCUAAGAGCUUGGGCUCUACCCUCAGAGUCUGAACUCUUAUUUUUGCCUAAGGCCAGCAGUAUGUGACACCAUCUCAUUUGUGAUGCUGGGCAGUGGCGAUGGGCCACAGCUCCCAGUCAGCCACGAUUAUGAAGGAAUGCAGUUUUCCUAAGCUUCAAUCCACUCAGCAUGUGUGCCUUCCAACAGACCUGCAGCCACUAGUAGGUGGAAUCUUAUCUUAUCUGAGGGGCUUCUUCUAUGACUUACAGGGAGAUGUUGCAUUCUCCUUAUGUAUAA